rnacentral:lncRNA from 1 species
AUUCCCAGAAUUGCUUGUAUCCUCCUUCUGGAGCCAGUGUGUACGACUCCACAGAGCAUUUGGAUUACACUCCUCCGAAUGCUGAAGGAAAAACGCUCAAAAUCUCAUUCUUCAGGGGGAAGCGUUGCCACUCCGAGGUGCCCACUGGGAACGAAUCCCAAAGCCACGAGCGCCUGCCUAGUGGGGAAUGUGAACUGUUAUCCUGAGAGUCGUCCUUCUCUCUCCCUGGUCCAGGACAGAAAAUACUGAAUAGACAGGAAUUUCUGAAGUCUAAACGCCUCCAAUGAUAACAGGAGUGUUAUUGGAAAGGGAACAAGCGAGAAGACACAGUCUUCGAGGAGUUAAGUUUUGCUAAUCUAAUGAUGAGACUGCAUUCAUGAAGACUGAGUGAAGACUUUAUUGCACCAUCACAUCACUAAGGUUUUUCUCCAACAUGAACAUUCUGAUGAAGUCGAAGGCUUGAGGCCUGACUAAAGCACAUAUCACACUCCCUACACUUCCAUGUUUUCUCUCCCAUGUGGACCCUCUGAUGCAUAUCAAGAUUCAAGCGCCUGUUGUAGCCCUUCCCACAGUCCUCACAUUUGUAUGGCUUUUCUACACUGUGAACUUUUUCUUGCACUUUAGAGAAUGAAUUCUGUACAAUGUUCUUCCCAUGCUGCUCACAUUUGAGAGGUGUUUCUCUGCUGUGGCGUCUCUGAUGGGUCAGACGAGUUGAGGACCAGCUGAAGCCCUUCCCACACUCAUCACAUUUGUAUGGCUUUUCUCCAGUGUGCACUCUUUGAUGAGAAUGAAGCUGUGAAUUCUGAGUAAAUCUUUUCCCACACUCUUCACAUUUGAAUGGUUUUUCUCCACUGUGCAGUCUCUGAUGUUUCAAAAGACACGAGGCCCAGCCAAAACUCUUCCCACAUUCCUUACAAUUGUAUGGUCUCUCUCCUGUGUGGACCUUCUGGUGCAUAUCAAGAUUAAACUUACUAUUGUAGCCCUUUCCACACUUCUCACAUUUGUAUGGCUUUUCUCCAGUGUGAACUCUCUGAUGGGAAUGAAGAUGUGAAUUUUGAGUAAAUCUCUUCCCACACUCUUCACAUUGGAAUGGUUUUUCUCCACUGUGGAGUCUCUCAUGUUUCAAAAGACAUGGGGCCCGACUAAAGCUCUUCCCACAUUCCUUACAAUUAUACAGUUUCUCUCCUGUAUGGACGCGCUGGUGAAAGUCAAGAUCCAACCUCCUUUUGUAGCCCUUCCCACACUCCACACAUUUGUAUGGUUUUUCUCCACUAUGGGAUCUCUGGUGGGAAUAGCAUUGUGAAUUUGUGUAAAAUCCUUUCCCACAUUCUUCACAUUUGAAUGGUUUUUCUCCACUGUGGACUCGCUGAUGUUUCAAAAGACACGAGGCCCAUCUGAAGCUCUUCCCACACUCUUUACAAUUAUAUGGCUUUUCUCCCGUGUGGACCAUAUGAUGCGUAUAAAGAUCUCGCCUACAAAUAAAGCCUUUUCCACACUCCUCACAUUUGUAUGGUUUCUCUCCUGUGUGGAUCAUGCGAUGACUAUUAAGUGCUGAUCUCUGACGAAAGCUCUUAUCACACGUAUCACAUCGGAAUGGUUUCUCUGCCGUGUGAACCAUGGAAUGCCUAUUAAGUCUUGAUCUACCACAGAAGCUCUUACCACAUAUAUCACAUUUGAAUGGCUUCUCCCCCGUAUGGAUUCUCUGAUGUUCUUGAAGCUGGGAAUCGUGAAUGAAGGCCUUCCCGCAUUCCUCACAAUUAUAAGGUUUCUCUCCUGUGUGUAAUUUAUGAUGAACAUUAAGUGCUGAUCUACGACUGAAGCCUUUCCCACAUUCCACACAUUUGAACGGUUUCUCUCCAGUGUGGACUCUCUGAUGAGUUUGCAGAUGUGAACUCUGACUGAAUUCCUUACCACACACGUCACACUUAUAGCAUUUCUCUCCCAUGUGGACUCUCUGAUGAAUACGAAGGGCUGAGAUGUAACAAAAGUUCUUUCCACACUCAUCACACGUAUGAGAUUUCUCUCCUGAGUGUAAUUGUUGAUGAAAAUCAAAGUGGGAGACAUCACUGAAGGAUGGUUUAUAUCCAUUGCCCUGGGAAGAUUUCUGUCUUGUGUGAAUUACAGAUAGUCCUGCCUCAGUCUGGCAGGGGAAAUCACCUUCUUUGGAGAACUGAGAGCUAUUUAUCAUCAAGUCUUGAGACCUGGUUAAAUCACUUGCAAUUUUUUCCCAGAUUUGCUGGAAGGACCACUCUUGAUGUGUUCCUGCUUCUGAAACAGUCUCCAUCUCAGUUUGGAUCUUGUCUCCUAUCAGAAUACAGAAUUAAAAGAUGAGGACAAGUGAAGCCUUUGUUCAGUGUUAUCAAGAUUUCACUUAGGCCAUGGCAGGAAACUCUCAUGAGUAUAGACAACAUUCAGUUUGUAUUUUUCAAGUGCACCAUAAUCUUUGGUUUGGAUGAGGCCAAUUUCGAACUAAACCAAGUAUCAUAUGUAAAAUACUUGAUAGAAAUAAAAGACGAAAAACAAUAGAUGUUGACAUGGGUGUGGUGAGAAGAAACGCUUAUACACUGCUGCUGGUGUGAAUGUAAAUUAGUACAACCUCUAUGAAAUACAGUAUGGAGAUUCUCUAAAGAACUAAAAGUGGAUCUACCAUUUGAUCCAGCAAUCCCACUACUAUCUACCCAAAGGAAAAGAAGUCCUUACAUCAAAAGGACACCUGCAUGCCUAUAUUUAUUACAGCACAAUUCACAAUUUCAAAGAUAUGGAACCAACCUAAGUGCCCAUCAACCAAUGAGUGGAUAAAGAAAAUAUGGUAUAUAUUCACCAGGGAAUACUAUUCAGCCAUAAAAAAAUGAAAUAAUGUCUUUUGCAGCAACUUGGAUGGAGCUGGAGGCUAUUAUUCUAAGUGAAGUAACUCAGGAAUGGAAAACCAAAUACCGUGUUUUCACUUAUAAGUGGGAGUUAAGCUAUGGGUAUGCAAAGGCAUACAGAGUGAUAUAAUGGACUAUGGAGACUCAAAAUGGGGAGGGUGGAAGGUAGGGUAAGGGAUAAAAAGCUACAAGUUGGGUACAAUGUACACUACUCAGGUGAUGGGUACACUAAAAUCUCAGACUUCACCAUUAGACAAUUCAACCAUGUAACCAAAAACCAGUAUAUACUUUAAUAAAAAAAGACUACUGAAAUAAAAUUUUUAAUAAAAAUAAAAGACAAUAAUAAAAUUAAUAUGAUACAAACAUUAUACCUGCUACUCUUCCUAGUGAAUUUCCUAAUCAGUCUAAAAUCUUGCAUGGUAAAUUAUGAAGCUAAUAAAUUGUGUAUAUAAUAAAAUAUGAAUCAAAACCAAUUUUAAACAAAAGUAAUAUAA